AUUGAACGCUGGCGGCAGGCCUAACACAUGCAAGUCGAGCGAGCGGCGGACGGGUGAGUAAUAUCUGGGAAACUGCCUGAUGGAGGGGGAUAACUACUGGAAACUGUAGCUGAUACCGCGUACCAUCGGUUGUUCCCAGAUGGGAUUAGCUUGUUGGUUGGGUAACGGCUCACCUAGGCGACGAUCCCUAGCUGGUCUGAGAGGAUGACCAGCCACACGUGAACGGAGCAACGGUCCAGACUCCUACGGGAGGCAGAAGUGGGGAAUAUUGGCAAAUGGGGGAAAGCCUGAUGCAGCCAUGCCGCGUGGAGGAAGAAGGCCUUCGGGUUGUAAAGUACUUUCAGAGGGGAGGCGGUACCCGCAGAAGAAGCACCGGCUAACUCCGUGCCAGCAGCCGCGGUAAUAC
rnacentral:rRNA from 1 species